GUAGGGUGCGAGCGUUAAUCGGAAUUACUGGGCGUAAAGCGUGCGCAGGCGGUUUUGUAAGCCAGAUGUGAAAGCCCCGGGCUUAACUUGGGAAUGGCAUUUGGGACUGCAAGGCUUGAGUGCGGCAGAGGAGACUGGAAUUCCUGGUGUAGCAGUGAAAUGCGUAGAUAUCAGGAGGAAUACCGAUGGCGAAGGCAGGUCUCUGGGCUGACACUGACGCUCAUGCACGAAAGCGUGGGGAGCAAACAGGAUUAGAUACCCUGGUAGUCCACGCCCUAAACGAUGUCGACUGGUUGUUGGGGGUUUGACACUCUCAGUAACGAAGCUAACGCGUGAAGUCGACCGCCUGGGGAGUACGGCCGCAAGGUUA
rnacentral:rRNA from 1 species